CCGAGCCAGCCAGGCAGCCUUACAUGGACAUCUCAGGGACAUGGUAUUUAUGAGAUGAGGUAUCCAGUGAAGCAGCCAUGCAAGCUCCCCCUCCCUGCCCAGCUUCACUCCAAGGUGCCGCACUCCUCCCACUGUGUCUCUGCAUACACACCCAGCCCCUUCCAGAGCCCCCUCUCCUUCCUGGGGACAGGACGGUGGGACUGGCAGGCUAAGGCUGUACAUGAGAGGGAGCCGACACUGGACUCCUGAUUUCACCAGACAGGUAAAGUGUGACUGAGAGAGGAGAAGCGACCUUCUCAACGCCCCAAGACCAGUGGGUGGCAGAGCCGGAUGUUGAACUCACAUUUCUUUGACACCCAAGCCUGCACUUGUUGAACCGCCCAGGCAGGCAGAGACACAUAGACACAGAAGGAAGAUGAUGUGAGGACACAGGUAGGCCACCACGUGAAGACAGAGGAUGGGUGAUGCACCUACAAGCCAAGGAACACCAAAGAUCGCUGGAAACCUCCAGAAGCUGGAAAGAGGCAAGGAAGGGCCCCUGCAGGUUUCAGAGGGAGCACAGGCCUGCCAACACCUUGAUUUUUGACUUCUAGCCUCCAGAACUGUGAGACAAUACAUUUCUGUUGUUUUAAGUCACCUAGUUUGUGAUACUUUUUUAGGACAGCCCUAGAAAACCAAUAUAAGCUAUUGUGUAAAACAGCUGAGCAGCUCCUCAAAACAUUAAACAUAGAGUUACCCUAUGACUCCACAAUUCCACUCCCAACUACACACACCCAAGAGAAAUGAAAACAGAUGUCCACACAAAAACUUGUACAUGAAUCCUCAUGGCAACAUUAGUCAUAAUAACCAAAAAGUGAAACAACCCAAAUGUCCACCAACUGAUGAAUGGAAAAACAACAUGGGCUACACUCAUAUAAUGGAAUAUUACUCAACCAUAAAAAGGGAGCUACAGCAUAGAUGUACCUUGAAAAUAUUAUGCAAAGAAAAAGAAGCCAGUCUUGAAGACCACAGCUAUGAAACCAUCAGAAUCGGCAAAUAUAUAGAGACGGGAAGAUUAGUGGCUACUGAUUGCUGGGGUGAGGUCGGGGAGAGAUAGAGGGAUUAGGGGUUCAAGCUAAAGGGUACAGGGUUUCUUUCCGAGCUGCUGAAAAUCUUCUAAAAUUGACUGUGGUGACAGUCACACAACUCUGUGAUGAUACAAAAAAAAUCAUUGAAUUGUACACUUUAAAUGGGCGUAUUGUGUGGUAUGUGAAUUAGUUAUACCUCAAUAAAGUUGUUAAAAAAAAAAACCAGGAAAGAAAGCCCUCAACCCCAGGAAGCGCUAUUAAAUACAUGGGAUUGUGCUAGCACUGGCCAAGAAGACAGAGCUUGGUCUCCAGAAGCCAUAGACCAAUGGUUCUCAAAUGUGGCUGCAAAGGAAGUGCACAUGGGAAAUGUUAUUAAAAUAAAUUUUAUUAAGAUAUAAUUUACAUACAACAAAAUGCAUCCCUUUUAGGAAUAGAGUUCAACGGGUUUUGACAGGUGCAUGCAUAAUUACCACAAUCCAGAUAGAGAACAAUUCCAUCCCCCAAGGAAGUUCCUUCACACACCUUUGCAGCCAAUCUCCCCACCACUCCCAACUCCAGGUAACUACUAAUCUGCUCUGUCACUAGCGAUUUGUCUUUUCCAAAUUGCAUUAAAAGGGAAUCACCCAGUAUGUGCCCUUUUUGUGUCUGGCUUCUUUCACUCAGCAUGACGUUUUAGAGGUUCAUCCACACUGUUGCGCAUAGAUCAUUCCUUUUUAUUGCAGUGUAGUAUCCCACUGUACUAUGACAUUGCAAUUUCUUUAUCCAUUUACCUGUCAUUGAAUAUAAAGGUUCGUUCCAGUUUGGGGCUAUUGGAAAUAAAGCUGCUAUGAAUAUUUGUGAACAAGUCGUCUUUUUACAGACAUGUGUUUACUUCUCUCGGAUAAAUAUCUUGGAGUGGAAUUUCUGGGUCAUACAGCAAGUGUAUGUUGGAUUUUAUAAGAAAUGGCCAAACUGUUUCUAGAGCAGCUGUACCAUUUUACAUUCCCACCACUGGUUACCACUUUUAAAAAUCCCAAUGCCCAGGUCAGGUCGUAGCCAAAACUAAUUAAAUCAGAACCUCCAGGGAGUAGAAUACAGACAUCGGUUUUCUUAAAGCACCAAGGUGAUUCUAAUGUGCAGACAAGACUUCAAACCACUGCUAGAGAUCUCAGGGGCCAUUCAGCAGGCAAACAAGCGAAAGACAUAUCAUAUUUGCCUAUAGAAUUUCCUCACUCUUCCUUGAUAAUAGAGAGAGAGAAAAGAAGGAAAAACAAAAGCAGUGUCUAUCCAGUCUUCACACCACUGCCCUCAGAAAGCUUUGUUGAUCUCUCAGAUUCUCUCCACCUUACAGGAAGUAGGAGAAGGCCAGAAGAAUACAAAAUAAUAAGUACAUAUUAGCAACUUUUUAACAACUGAGUUUUGAGCUUAGCAUUUUAGUAGGGUUACCAUUCCCAGCCCUCACAAGAGCUCUACAAGAUAAGUACUACUAGAAUCACCAUGUUACAGAUGAAGAAGCUGGGGCUCAGAGAGGUUCAGUAACUUGCCCAAGAUCACACAGCCAGUUAUUGAUGCAGCAGGGAUUUAAACUUAAGUCUGUCUCCAAAGUCCAAGAGCUUAAACACUCCACUAGGCUCAGAGCCAUCGAUGGUCCUGGGGCCAUGAACCUCCUCCCACUCAGGUAUUUCUGGUAGCAGGAGAAUACAAGCCUCCAACCCAACUGUAAAAGAAGGCUGCAGGUGUGUUUACAAGACUAGCAGGAAAGGUAAUCUGCAAUGAGACUGAAAGGUGGGGGUUAAUUAUGGGAUUUCCUUUCCUUUCAAGCUUAAAGGAUGAGAUUUAAGCCCUUUUGGUACAGGGGAGGAGACCAAGCUGUUGCUGCAGCCUCCUCCCUCCGCCUCAGUUGGUACUUGGGACUGGAAAGAGGUAACAGAGAGCUAAGGAAGGAAGCCAGUGGAUAAGAAAGAGCCACCCAAGAGGCUGAAGCCUGGGCCAUCUGCCUGCCCAGCAGCUGCCUGGUCCUUUCACUGAACUCUUGUCUGACCUGCAGCAGACAAAGAGUAUUUGGCUGGAACAGGCUGCUGUUGUCAACUGAAACUGCUAUUUCAAAACAAGGAGUGAGGAUCAGCAGGGAGGAAAGCAUUUUUCAAAAUGUAUCCAGGGGCUAGGGGAAACUGGGUGCUUGCCACACAGGAACUUUCUGUACUAUCCUUUGCAACUUUUCUGUAAACCUAAGACUAUUCUAAAAUUAAAAGUUUUACUUAAAAUAAUAAAUACAUAAAUAAAAGUUAUUUGAAAGUUAUGGAGUCAUAUAGCAGGGGACAGAAGAGAAAAGCAAAAAGGAAGAAAAGCUGCUGUAUACACACAGCACAUGUGCUAACAUAAAAGUGGAAGGCAGGCAGGGUGUGGUGGCUCAUGCCUGUAAUCUCAGCACUUUGGGAAGUCAAGGCGGCCAGAUCACUUGAGCCCAGGAGUUCAAGACCAGCCUGAGCAACAUGGCGAGACCCUGUCUCUACAAAAAGUAAAAAGAAAAUUAGCCAGGUGUGGUGGCGCACACUGCAGUCCCAGCUCGGACUCGGAAGGCUGAGGUGGGAGGAUUGAGGAUGGCUUGAG
rnacentral:lncRNA from 1 species